CAGUAGCCACGGUAAUACGUAGGUCCCGAGCGCUGUCCGGAUUUACUGGGCGUAAAGGGAGCGUAGACGGUUAAACAAGUCUGAAGUGAAAUGCCGGGGCUCAACCCCGGAGCUGCUUUGGGAACUGUAGAACUGGAGUGUCGGAGGGGUAAGCGGAAUUCCCAGUGUAGCGGUGAAGUGCGUAGAUAUUGGGAGGAACACCGGCGGCGAAGGCGGCUUACUGGACGACAACUGACGCUGAGGCGCGAAAGCGUGGGGAGCAAACAGGAUUAGAUACCCCUGUAGUCCCUGUCUCUUAUAC
rnacentral:rRNA from 1 species